rnacentral:misc_RNA from 1 species
CAUUUUGCAUACACAGGCUCAUACUUUUCUUGCAAAAAUGAAAGUAGCUUCUGCUUAUCUAAUUUAGCAGGAUCAACACCAUGUUCAUUAUACUCAGCAAUCCAUUUUUCCAGCGGCAACAUUGUAUCCUUGACUUUCACACUGUACUUCCAUUUUUUAGCUCUGCACCCUGUGUGUCUUUCCCAUUCGCUAGGUGUUUGCUUCCGUGACCCACAC